GACGAACGCUGGCGGCGUGCUUAACACAUGCAAGUCGAGCGGUAAGGCCCUUUCGGGGGUACACGAGCGGCGAACGGGUGAGUAACACGUGGGUGACCUGCCCUCAGCUCUGGGAUAAGCCUGGGAAACCGGGUCUAAUACCGGAUAUGACUCCAUGACGCAUGUUGUGGGGUGGAAAGCCUUGUGCGGCUGAGGAUGGGCCCGCGGCCUAUCAGCUUGUUGGUGGGGUGAUGGCCACCAAGGCGACGACGGGUAGCCGGCCUGAGAGGGCGACCGGCCACACUGGGACUGAGACACGGCCCGGACUCCUACGGGAGGCAGCAGUGGGGAAUCUUGCGCAAUGGGCGAAAGCCUGACGCAGCGACGCCGCGUGAGGGAUGACGGCCUCGG
rnacentral:rRNA from 1 species